GGCAGAUCUUUCCUUUCCUCAGGACCACGAGAGCUUCAGGAUACCACCUGACUUGGAACUGGUGGAACUUUCCGCCAAAGGACACAGUUUCUUUUUCUUUCUUGAAAAGAGCAGCUCGCCUCCAGACACACGGGAUGCACAUGAAGGGGAACCUCUGAGCCCUGGGUGGACAAACUCGGAGACUGCACAUUCUCACAGAUUUCUGAGUUUAUUUUUUUUACUUCGGAUUCAAGAAUUCCACUCCAGUGCUCACCCGUCAGAAAUGUGAGAAAUGCAGACAGAAGUAAUUGGACAGAGCCAGGAACAGCAGAGAAUUCCAGGGGAAGGGUGACUCCGUCAGCAUUGUUCAACCACGUCCCUGAUGGUGUUGACUGAGUAUGUACCACGUGCCAGGCAGGCUCCAGGUGUUGGAGACACAGUCCUGGAAAACACAUGGAGACAUGGUCCUUAUCCUCCCACUACAGAGAUGCUGUGUGAGAGAGCAGGAAGACAACAGAUAAAGAACAAUACAAAUAUAUGAUUUCAAACCAUGGGAGGGUUCUCAGAGAAGCAAACCUGUGUGCAUAGUGUGACUGCAGUGUGUUUUAGGAUGCUGGGUCGGUAGUGAUAUGCAUGCUGAGACCUGCAGAACACGAGGGCUUUAGCCAGGCCAAGAGUUGGGCCAUAGAAGGUUCAGAGUAGAAGGAACAGCAUGUCAGAGGACUAUGAGUCACAUAAGUGAAGACGAGUGUGAUGGGAGAACAAUCAAGGGAGCAGAUGCUGUUGAUGGCUCCUCCAAUCCUUCCGAGUUCCUUGAUCCUGGGUGUGCUUUGGCAUCCUACAGCAAACAUCUGCAUCUCCCCAGGAGAGCAUUUCUCUGUCAUGUGCAUCAUGGGAAUUACUGGGUGGGGAAGGUCUCCAAGAGUAGCCUUUGGUCAGUGGUGAUGACAAUUAGAGCACAAAUGUCCCCAACUUUCUCACCCUUCAGGGAGGACUGUCCCACUCUACCUCCUGCAGGAUUGAGCUCCCGUUUUCUGCAGCGAUAACUUGCUCAUGAAUACAUUGUGCAUUGCUUUCCUCCUCCUUUUCAUAUCAUCCCUGCUCUUCUCCCAGCACUUCCUGAGGUCAUCUAACAAACAAACCGUUUGUCUUUGAGUCCUUGUCUCCUAGCCUGCCCUUGGAGGAGCCCAAGGUGGGCUAUGAGUGGGGAGGAGGCUGAAAGGCAGGCACAAGUCAGAGCAUGGAGGGCUACAGUUCUCAAAGCACUGUCUGCAGAACUCUAUUGUUGCCAGACACCCUUUUAGGGAGUAUGAGAAGUCAAAUCGAUUUUUCAUAGUAUUAAUGAGAUGGCAUCUGCCCUUUUCACUAUUUCACUGUCAAAAUGCAAAACAAAGAUAGUUAGGAACAAUGGAGCUUUAAAGAUGAAUGAAAGUUCUACUAGGAGUCAUGGUGCUCUUCACCAUCUGCAUUUGCAGAACAAAAAAAUUGCCAGUUGCACUUGAGAAUGUCCUUGAUGAAGUUGGAAAAAUGAUGCAUUUUUAUUAAAUCUCAUGCCUUGAGCACAUUUGAAAAAAAUUCUGCUUGAUGAAGUGGGAAGUAUGUACACACAAAAUACUCUACUGCACCCCAAACUCCAGUGUUGUGUCAGGGAAAAGCACCUGCACUAUGAGUGAGUUGUGAGCUGGACUUGACUCUUCAUGGAACAUAACAUUUACUUGAAAGAAUGACUGGCAGACAAUCAAAUCACGACUCUUCAGACUGGGAUACUAGCCAGACAUUUUCUCAAAAAUGAGCAAAGUGAGCAUGUCUCUUUAAGAGACACAACAGACAUUAUUUGUUGCCAAUAAUAAAAUUUGAGUUUCCAAAUGAAAACUAGAAUUUUGGAAGACUUGUAUGUGUCAUGGUUAGUCUGAUAGUCUCCUAAUACUUAAAGACUUUCUAAUGAUGUGGGUGGUGAUAUUAACAAAUGUGAUUUUUUUUAUGCUGUAUAAGUGUAUUGUGACAGCAUUUGGAAGAUCUGCCUCACUCACUGAACACGUAUUUCCCAAGUGACCAAUGUAUAAUAGUACAAAGUCACAUAUGGAUGUGAAAGGCCCAUUUGAAGGACAAAAUAAUGCAGUGGGUUUUAAUGUAAUUGAGUCUGAAAUAGUCAUGGUAUGGUUUUAGAUUACACAUGGCAAUCAGCCUUUAAGAAAUUACCAUAUGCUCAGACUUGGUGAAGUACCAGAAGAGAGUAUCCACAAUUAUUUGAAAUGUCGAUUAAACACCCUUCCUGCAUUAUCUGUGUGAGGCCAGGUUCUCUUCAGGUUCAGUGAUCGAAUGCAGAAAUGAGAAUCCAGUUGCUUUCUAUGAAA